rnacentral:rRNA from 1 species
UCCAGACUCCUACGGGAGGCAGCAGUGGGGGAUAUUGCACAAUGGGGGAAACCCUGAAGCAGCAACGCCGCGUGGAGGAUGAAGGUUUUAGGAUUGUAAACUCCUUUUGUUAGAGAAGAUUAUGACGGUAUCUAACGAAUAAGCACCGGCUAACUCCGUGCCAGCAGCCGCGGUAAUACGGAGGAUGCGAGCGUUAUCCGGAUUUAUUGGGUUUAAAGGGUGCGUAGGCGGACUGGAAAGUCAGCGGUAAAAUCGAGAGGCUCAACCUCUUUCCGCCGUUGAAACUGUCGGUCUUAAGUGGGCGAGAAGUAUGCGGAAUGCGUGGUGUAGCGGUGAAAUGCAUAGAUAUCACGCAGAACUCCGAUUGCGAAGGCAGCAUACCGGCGCCCGACUGACGCUGAGGCACGAAAGCGUGGGUAUCGAACAGGAUUAGAUACCCCCGUA